rnacentral:rRNA from 1 species
CACCUGCUCGCCGGGUGUGUCUUCUCCAGGAUCACAUGGCAUGAAAUCCUUUCGUGGUGCCGGCUCAUCACCCCACCGAUGGAUGGUGACACUGUCUUCUUCAUGUGGUGGUCCAAGGCCGUCGACGAAUCCCCGGGCUGCCUAUGGAAGGGUCUCAACUCCAUCGUGGCGCUCUCCGCUUGGUCCAUUUGGAAGCACCGCAACGCGGUCAUCUUCGAGAACCGGUGCCCCUCUACCGAAGACCUAAUACGCUCGAUCAAAGACGACGCCCGCCUCUGGGCUAAGGCGGGUGCUCGAGGGCUAGCCGCGAUUAUUCCUGUAACUUAA